UACGUAGGGACCAAGCGUUGUUCGGAUUUACUGGGCGUAAAGGGCGCGUAGGCGGCAUGACAAGUCACUUGUGAAAUCUCCGGGCUUAACUCGGAACGGGCAACUGAUACUGCGCGGCUAGAGUGCAGAAGGGGCAACUGGAAUUCUCGGUGUAGCGGUGAAAUGCGUAGAUAUCGAGAGGAACACCUGCGGCGAAGGCGGGUUGCUGGGCUGACACUGACGCUGAUGCGCGAAAGCCAGGGGAGCGAACGGG
rnacentral:rRNA from 1 species